UGUAACUCAUCUCUCCCAGCUUAGGUCCUGUGGAGACAAGCUGUCAUAGGGCUGACACAACCAAAUCAAGAAAGGAAAGAGUAGAAUUUAUAGUGAAAAUCAGGAAGCUACUUAAAAUGGUGGGUUUCUCAGAAUGUGGUACUGCACAUUUUUUGCUUGGUAGUCCCUGAACAGUUAUUAAAGACCCCAUGGAAGCAGAUGGAUGCUGGCCAGUAGGCAUUGUCCCCUUUUAUAUUUAUAACUUCACUGACCUUCAUUUUACCUCUAAUAGAGAUUGUACCAUUAAUUGGCUGGAUUCUCCCAAGCUCUGUGGCAAGUAAGAAUGGAAAAGUGGAUUUUCUCCGUACUCCAUUGCAGAGGAUAUCAUUAAUUUGCUAGGUUUCGUUCCCACAGGGAAAUGUUAAAAACCAGUACAGUUGGUUCUUCGCCACUCUGGAUUGACAGACAUUCUUUGUGUAGGUGCCUCUGGCUUUGAGAAACGAGGCCAGAGUCUAUAUGCAGACAGUGAGCAGUGAUCUUCCGUUUCCUACUUGUUGCAGUAGACAUAAAAUCAGGGCAAAUGGUGAGUUCCAGAGGAAAGGAUCCAGCAUGCAGCCUGCUGAAUAAGAGAACAGGAAUGAUCUCGAAUGAUGAUAAAUGUUUAUACUCUAUUAGAGCUUUGGCCAUGGGUUUGGCCACCAUUCAAUUGCCUCUACAGCUGAUUUUUUAUGUGGCUUUUCUUUUCUUUCUCCUGUUUGGUUGCAAACUUAUUUUGACUGAGGAUUUACUUGUCACCUCAUGUUGACAUUUCAAGUUAUUGCAUUGAGAAAAACAUAGGAGAAAGCAAACAAGCAAGUAUAUUCCAACGGUCAACAGGCACAGAAGUCAUACUCACAUUUCAAAGAAAAACAGGAGAGUUGAAAUAGAGAAUGGAGAACAGAUGUAUUUAUGAGGGGGGAAAUCUUCUUGGCAUUUGAGCUCAAGUCAGAUUCUGGAUUCUGGAUAGUUUUCUCAGCUAAUGGUGAUUCCUAGGACUGCUAAGCGGGGGACAUUCUGGUCUAACCGAAGUUGCCAUGUAAUUCUGUGGAAUCAUACUAACAUUUUGAUUUCUCUGAUUAUAAGUGACUGCAGCAACAAAGAGAGUAACUCUGUUGUAAGAACUGUUUCCACAGUGUCUCUAGGGACAGUUUUGCUUUAGUCUGUAAAUUCUCCAAAGGCAAGCUGAGACUAUGUAAAUUAAAGAAAUAGAGCCAGUGACAACCAACCCUGUGGUUUUAUUUGAUUUUCCAAAACACAUGUCCAUCGGUAUGUCUCAGACAACACGAUAUGAUUAAAGCACGGUAAUAAUCACCCAUAUAUUGCAUUUUAAUUGGUAUAAUGUAUGAUGAAUAGUGAAGUUGGAACCAUGGGGCAUACUUUCACAUUUAAGGUAUUUCUUUGAUUUAUCAGAAUUUCUAAGAACAUAAAAUAGAAGUCAGAAAGUCUGUUUUCUGAGCUGGGACCUGCCAUUCAUCAGCUGUGUGAUCUUGGGUAUGUUACUUUAUUUCUCUGGGCCCCAUUUUCCCCAGCUAUAAAAUGAGGGGUUUAAACUAGAUGAGCUCUAAAGAGCUUUUCACUUCGGAGUUUGGCUAUUCCAAGACCUUUUCUAGUCUUGUGAAUUUAAUUACUGAAUUCUGGGAUCUUAAGUCUCUUUAUCAGUUGAGUCUCCUCCUUUGUGGUCUUACAGCAAAGAUGACUGUUGGCCAAACUUUGGAUUUCUGAGACUGAUUUCAGUGAAUUGCAUUAUACAUAUUUUUAACUAGCUUAUAUUAAAUGAGAGAAAGUGCAAGGAAGGAAUUGCAACCACAAUUUAAAUAGUUUUUUCCGUGCCAUUCUAUUCCGUGAGCACCUGCCUUGGAGUAGGUGUGAAACGGGAGUCAGGAAGUCUGUGCAUGCCUCUCAGAGGGUGGUAUCUUCGUCUUCUGAGUAUGAUUCCGUACCAUGAAUAUGUUGGUUGUGGAUUUUUCUUUUCUGUACAACAUGAGGCCCCUAAACAUAAGGAAACUACUUCCUUUGGUGCUUAACCUAAGAAGCAUCUAUUCUAAUGAUGGAGGAAAACCUAGCUGUAUUACACAUACUGAAAGUGAUAUAGUGGGUUACAAAGUGACAGGUAAAUAUUUGUGUUCCAUUUAAGUGGUUUGUGAGUAUAAUUUUGAUUUUUCCUAACUGUUGCUUUCUCUAAUGAUUUUAGAACCGGAUAACCCCUCCCCUUUCCCCUACUCUCCAAGCAUAGGAUAGAGCUCAUCUAUAAAAUUCAUUGGAUUUUGUGUUUUUGCUCUUCUAGUUGGUCUCUGAAAUGGUCAGAAUGGAGUUGGAAAUGGGACAGCCUAUUAGUCCAAUCUACUUCUAAGGCUCCUGAACAGCCUCACAAGACUCCAUGCAUCCCAGCAUCCCUUGGGACCUGGGUGAUUAGUUUGUGAUCAACAGAUUGUACUCUCAGAAAACGUGCAAGCCACCAGCCUCUCGUUCAAACUGUUUAUAGGCCCCAGAAGGGGCUUCCUUUGGGCCAGAUGAUUAGUCACAUUUUGUUUCAAACACCCGAGGAAAGGUACAGCAGCUUUCUACUUGAAUGCAUGCUUUUACCACCUAAAGGCAAUUGGUUGGGAGAAGAUUUGGGAGAAGACAUUGACAGUGUCCAGCAGUCCUUUUAUCUGUUAUAAAGCUAAAUGCAUGUUUAUCAAGUUUUCAGCAAAGAUAUAUGUUCCACUUUAGCCUCCUUAUUCUUAUUUUCCACUUAGAGGUAGAGACUGGGUCUCACCAUGUUGCCCAGGCUGGUCUUCAACUCCUGGGCUCAGGCUCAAGUGAUCCUCCGACCUCGGCCUCCUGAAGUGCUGGGAUUACAGGCAUGAGCCACUGUGUCUGGCCACAAUACACACUUGACUGUCAUUUAUAAACUCAAAUGACUCAGCUAUCAAGAUGCCAAAUUGGAUUUUAGAGAGCCUCCUCCUAGGCACCUGAUACUUUCAUGCUUGGCUUAUUGUACGAGGUAACUCCACUUUCUGUUCAUCUCAAAAGUGUUGGGAAGUGUUUGCAGGUUACCUUCCUAGCACCUGCCCAACCUUCUAGAGAAGUGGAGAAACCUGUGAGGAAAGCAGCACAGGCGUUGCCACUUAGGGACAGUUUCAUGGAAAGAGAUCUCUACUUCUUGAUGUCACAUUACCCUUUAGAAUUCCAGAAUCACUUCAGAUCUUCAAAGCUUUUAAUAAGCAGCGAUGGCCUUUUACAAUUAUUUUUUAAAGCAGCAAUACUUAAAAUUUUAUUAAGUGCUGUCGUAGAAACUUGUGUCUACAAAAGACAGAUAAAAACAAGUGUUGAUGAGGAUAGAGAAAAAUUGGAGCCCUCAUACAUUACUAGUGAGGAUGUAAAAUAGUGCAGCCACUCUGGAAAAUAGUGUAGAAGACCCUUUUUAAAAGUUAAAUAUAGAAUUACCCUAAAAAGCACAGGCUUUUGUUGACUUUCCCUGGGGGUCAGGUGGGCUCACCUUGGUGCAUCCUCCCCUGGGGGGCUCUGGUGUGGGAAGCCAGCUUUCCUACCAUUCUGCAUGCAGCCUUGUACUGGGUCCUUGGGGAAAGAGAAAGACUGUGAAAUAGAUGUUUCCCUUUUCCCAGAAAUACCAACCCAAGAUCCCCAGCAGUGACCCCUUAUGGAAUUCUGGGAAGAACUAAAGAGAUAACAGUAUUCUUUCCUGCCUUUUAUCAACUCUGGAUGGCAGGAGGGACUCUGGGGCUUGGGACUGGCUGCCCUCAGGAGUUCAUGGCCUAGUACUGAUGCCAAGGGGCAGAAAUUUGUGAGAAAGAAGGCCUCCUCCAGGAGCUGUUGGUAUGAGCCCCUAAUGGGAUCAUGAUAUCCUACAUAUGCAACUAUGGGAAGAAGAAAGGAUCUAGCCAACAUCUGUUAUUAUAUUUUAAAAAGUAAUUUAAUUUGUUUACAUUACUUGUCAUUAUUGUCACCCACUUAUAUUUGAUUAUUCUUUAAGCACAUAUAGAAAGAUGAGGUUUAUGUUGAUUUUUCUGGUAUUACAUUUCCCUAGGCUACAUCUCCAUAUAGAGCUUUCCUUUUUUAAAAUCUGUUCUUUAUUUUUUAUAGAGACAGGGUCUUGCUAUGUUGCCCAAGCCAGUCUCAAACUUCUGGCCUCAAGUGAUCCUCCAGCCUCAGCCUCCAAAAGCUCUGGAAUUACAGGCAAGAGCCACUGUGCCCAACCUCCCCAUAUAGAAUUUUCUAUAGCAAUCUUGUCCUAGGAAAUAUCAUAGAAAUAGUUUAGGUUUUAAAAAGAAGGGCUGUAUGUCAUCUAAACUCUUAUUUAACCUAUGGUUGACAGCCUUGCUAUUAAAAAAAGAUCUUAAGUUGUUUUACAUUUUAUAGUCUUUUUAAAAAAAGAUGAUGAGACAUCUCUUUAGUGGUUGCCAUGUUUAAUAUUGUUACUUUCUAAGAACAAAUAUAAUUUUUGUGAGAACAUUAUAUUACUCUGAAACAGAGAACAGUACUCUCUGUCCUUUUAGUCCCUCAAUUUUUGAUAAGGUAAAAUAAGAUUAUCUUAUAUGACUAGUGUAUACUACCUUAUAUUUGUAUGACACUCCAUGUUUUUCAAUGACUUUCUUCCAGAGUUUUUGUUGAAACACAAAAGGAUUUGUACCCAAACUGACUUUACUUUCAAUUCUGGAUAAUAGAUAAUUAUUAUUGCAUUACAACUUUUAAAAAUAAUUAAGAAAUCAGCUUAGAAAAUGCUUGAUGAUUUUUACUUAGCAUGGUACGUCUUUAGGGAAAAGACCGUAUUAUGAAUUUAGCAAGCAAGUUGAGCAUGGUGACAUCCGCCUGUAAUCCCAGCUACUUGAGAGGCGGAGGGGGGAGGAUCACUUGGGCCUGGGAGUUCCAGACUACAGUGAGUUAUGAAGGGACCCACUGCACUGCAGCCUGGGCAACAGAGCAAGACCCUGCAAAUAAAUAAAUAAAUAAAUAAAUAAAUAAAUGUCGUGGUUUUUUUUUAAUUUAGCAAGUAAAGUAGCAGAAUAUCCUAUGUUGGAUUAGUCAGUGGAAAAAAAUAUCUUUCAAAUCGCAUUUGAUGUUUGCUCACCAUUAUUAUGAACUAAGCUACUCCAUGGAACUAGAGCAUAGCUGUCAAGUAAUUAUGAAGCGCCCAUGCUAGGGACCGCAUGCCAUUUAAUGAGUUUACAUCAGUAAAAAGAGAGGACAGAUUCAAAAAUGGGACAUGUCACACAUACAUGUGAGAAUUUUCCCAUAGGCCAAAGGGCCUCUUUCUUGGUUUUGAUAUCAGGCACCAACUCUAAUAGGAUGAAGCUAUCUGUGUAGCUUGAUGAAGUAGAAAUUCAUUGGAGUGGCCGGGCACAGUGGCUCACACCUGUAAUCCCAGUACUUUGGGAGGCUGAGGCGAGCGGAUCAUGAGGUGAGGAGAUCAAGACCAUCCUGGCUAGUACAGUGAAACCCCAUCUCUACUAAAAAUACAAAAAAUUAGCCGGGCAUGGUGGCAGGUGCCUGUAGUCGCAGCUACUUGGGAGGCUGAGGCAGGAGAAUGGUGUGAACCUGGGAGGCAGAGCUCACAGUGAGCCGAGAUCGCGCCACGGCACUCCAGCCUGGGCCACAGAGCGAGGCUCCGUCUAAAAAAAAAAAAAAAAAAAAAGAAACAAAUUCAUUGGAGUACCUUAGCAUUAUGGGAUAUCUCUAGGCAGCGCCAGGUUUCUUGUCUUCAUAGCUAAGAUAGAUGUUAAAGGAAGGGGAACCUUUUUCUAUCCCAUUUUUCUAGUGGCCUUUAUAGGACUUGGCUUAAUAUUUUUAUUUUAUUUUAUAUUAUUAAAUUAAUAUAUUUUUAUUUUAUAAAAUAAAAAUAUUAAGCCAAGUCCUAUGAAGGCCAGCAGAUUUUAUUUUAUAUAUAUAAAUUUUUUAAAAUAUGAAAUAAAUAUAUAAUACAUAUAUAAAUAUAUUUUUAAAAUAUGUAAUAUACAUAUAUGUAUGUGUACACACAGUGUGUGUACACUUGUUAUAUUAUUACUUAUCCUAGUAUAUUAAUGGCUAUAUAACAUAGCUGUGUCCCAAAUACAUGUAAUACAUAUUACUUUUCAUCUCAUUUAAACCUCACGAGAGUUCUUUGGUGAAGAUAUGAUUACCAUUUUACAGAUGAGAAAACCUGAGAAGAAUAGAAGUUAAGUAGCAUGCCAAGCUUACCCAACUAGCUCUCAUUCAUUCAUUCAUGAUUCAUGAAGUAUUUAUCAAACAACUACUAUAUACUGUCAUUAAAGAUACAAAAAGGAUCAAACAUAAUCCUUGCCUUCAAAGAAGCCACAGUCUAAGGUUAACAAGUGGACUGGAGCGGAAUUUGGUUUUAUCAUUUCAAAGGCAAAGGAACCCAGAUUGGAGAGUUUUCUGGCAACUGCCUUAGGACUUUUUGGCCAAGAUUAAUGUAAUAUAUAAAGGUAAGCAUCAAUGUGUUGGUGGGAAGAAGUAUCCUAGAAAUGUUUUUUGUUUUUUACUGUAUCUAGGACUCUUAUGAACUACUAAUUCAUUAUUAAGUUAUUUGAUGACACAGAUUAUUGUUCAAGAAUUUCCUCCCAGAGCAAUUGAUAAAUAUCAAAUAAUUUUUAUGAUGAGCAGUUCCAGAAAGGGUUAAAGUUAGCUUCUCUGGGACAUAUGAUGGGAAAGUAGCUGAACAUGAUUUCAAAGGGAUUUUUUAGGAGAAAAUUCCAAUUAACAGAGAAGUAAUUUCCCUUUCUAGCUUACUAAGCCCUAUUUCAGACUAAUGCAGUUUCAAGAUCAUCUCCCUUCUCCCCUUAUUUCAACAGAUAUUUUGAAUAUGAAAAUCUUAUGUCAAAACUUAGCUGAAGCCUUCAUCAGGCUUUUGAAAGGCUAAGUAAGAAUUCUGUUUCUAGGAAUAAAAAGAUUUGGAUCAGAAAGAUUCUUUGCUGGCUAGAGUUCCUUUUCGGAUGGUAGUUCAAGCAGUCUUUAAUCAUAUUUUUGUUGAUUAUUUAUUAGUUUCCCUGGGAAAUCAAAGACUCAGUAACGUAAAAUGUGUUUUCCUUAAGAUAUUUUAUGAAUCAGAACCCACAGUAAAGAAAUAAUGGGAAAUACAUUUCCUUUGCUGAUAUGGACUAAUUGAGAAUUAAAAUCCCUUUCUCUAGUCAUUAUCCCACAUGGAAAUGCUGAAUGACCCAACUGGCCCAAUUGCACCAACCACAGUUUCUGCCUAGACAAAACUCUUAUGCCACUAGUAGAUAAAGAGAGAGCUUUCUCAGUAAAUCAAAACUGCAGAGAACUAGAACUAAUUUAAGUGAAAGGAUAGGCUCCAAGCCCGCUGUUUGGGUAAACCCACACUGAACCAAGUGAGCGAUUGAUGAAACUUAAUAUAUGUGUAUUCCAGUCAUCAGCCUGGAGUAUGUGUAAUGCAAGCCCAUGGUGUUUGUCACUGUGAGAAAUGGAAAGGCAGACCUUCAUUCUCAACUGUGUGGGGCUGCUAGCCUGUGGCAGCUUUGGUCAACAUCGGGCUUGCUUUUGGGUGAGCCAGACUUUGGCUGGUUUCCUGAUGGAGGUUAGGGGAAUUGUGAAAUGUGUCUCCUUACACAGAUCGUCCUGAUCAAAUGAAAUAAAAAGGUAUUUUAAAAAUAAUUUGCUUAGUGAAAUACAAAGGAAAUAGGAUGCAUUUCAUACUAUUAAGGCCGAUAUGGUUUUGGGGGAUACGAGGUGUACAUACGUGAAAAAUUUGAAAACAAUUCAGAGUGAAAAAGAAUGGUCGUAUAACCUAAUGUAAAUGACGAGUUAAUGGGUGCGGCACACCAGCAUGGCACAUGUAUACAUAUGUAACAAACCUGCACAUUGUGUACAUGUACCCUAAAACUUAAAGUAUAAUUUAAAAAAUAAAAGAAAAAACAAAAAAGAAUGGUCGUGUAGUAGAGACAGUGGUGAAGAGCAGGACUCUGGAGCCAGGUGUUCUGAGUUCAGAGCCCACUCUGCCACUUACUAGAUCUGAGACCUGGAGGAAGUUAUUUGCCCUUUCCCUGUUUGGCUCUUUUGUAAAAUGGAAAUAUAAGAGUACCCACCUCCUAAGGUGGGCUUAUGAAUUAAUAGAUAUAAAGGUAUGUAAAAUUAUUGCUAUCAUUAGUUACUGUUAUUAAUAGAUCAGAAGUCACAAGCUCCAAUGCCUGCAGUGCCCAUGCAUACCAAAACAGGGAUCACUGGCAACAGAGACAUGGCCCCAGUGGCGUGGAGAUAAAAGAAAGUGGUAGGGACAGUGGCAGACAGCCAUCACCCUACUCCCCAUUGAUUGUGACCCUAAGGGAAUGCUGGUCCUGUGUCGCCAGAGCUUCUGGUAUUGCCAAAGAAGCUUGAAAUCUGGACUUGGUCAAAAAAUCUCUCAACUUGUAAAGGUGGUUGCUUUAUUUUAAAUUACUCUACAAGCCAAAUAAAACACUGUCUCCAGGCUAUUGGCCACCAGUGAAUGACCUCUUUGGACUAACAAUUAAACUCAGCUAUGGAAAUUCAUCUGAUUACUUUAUUGUCACACUGUGAAACAGGGAUUCAUUGUCAUUCCAGAAACAGCCAUUGAGUCCCUGCUUGUGUCCACCCCUGUGCUGGUGCAAAGGAUGUGCCCAAGAAUCAGGCAGACAAUCCAAAGAAGCCACCUGCUCCUUUACAAGUUGUUGACAAUUAAGAAACACCUAGCACUUAAUAGAUUCUCCAUAAAUGUAGGUUCCAACUCCUUCCAUUACCUUUGAUACGUCUAGACCUGAUCCAGUGAGUAUUUGAGGGCCAAUCUCAGUUUCUAAGUAGGAAUAGUGAUAUUGUUGAAAACUAAUGAACCCACCGACAACAUCACAGAAAUACUCCUAUACUUCUUCAAUGUGAGUUUCCUGCUUUUUGUGUCAUUUAUCAUCCCCUUUUAUUUGAUGUCUCUACUCAGGACUUAGGACUCGGGCUGUGAUAUUGUGUAUGUUACCUCACAAUUUUUUUUCUGUUUUUUUUUUCUUUAAGUGUAUAAGCUUCGUUUAUACUUCCAAAGGAUCUUCAAUGGAACUCUACUUCUGUGAGCUAAACCAGUGUCAUACUGCAAUGAAAACUGCAGGUGAUAAACAUUGUCUAAAUAAAAUUUCCAAAAAGUAUUUGACCAAGAAAUACCUUCCCCCUGCAUUCCCCACUUAAUGCAUCUUAAUAUGCCAAGUUACUGAUAUUGUUUGACCUAUUUGGGGAAAUGCUGGCUUGCCAAAUUAUUGCCCUUGUUAGGAACUACAGUUUCUUGUAAUUUCUUACCCACUCCGGCAUCCACACAGGUAUCUUCCAAAGCUCAGACUUUAUUUUCAAGAGGUCUAUCUGAGACCAGUCUGGGUAACCAAGUGAGACCCUGUCUCCACAAAUAAUAAUAAUAAUAAUAAUAAUAAUAAUAAUAAUAAUAAUAAUAAUAAUAAUAAAUUAGCUGGAUGUGGUGGCAUGUGCCUGUAGUCCCAGCUACUUGGGAGGCUGAGGUAGGAGGUUUGUUUGGUCUCAGGAGUUCGAGGUUGCAGUGAGCUAUGAUCAUGCCUUUGCACUCCAGCCUGAGUGACAGAAAAAGACCCUGUCCCCCCCCCAAAAAAAAAGUCUAGCAACUUGAGUGUGGCAGUGGCCAACUUGAUGGUAACUAACAAUGGGAUUGCAAACUCUUUGAGGAAAGGAACUGUCAUCCUGAACUCGGCAUAGCACCAAGCACUGGGUUGUUACAUGGUGGGUGUUAAGCAAAUGCCAUGGAAUGCAACAGACCCCUUUUUCUGCUGCUGUAAACUGUGGUGUUUGAACCUAGUAGUGAAUGGCCCAAGGAAAAAAAUACUGCAGGAAAUAUAGUAAUAGAUGAAUUUGGAUAAAGGGUAUAUGAGUGUUUUGGAGUAUUAUUCUUACAACUUCUCUGCAAGUUUAAAAUGAUAAUCUAAAUUUUAAAAACUUAUUUUCCGUUCAUCAAACUACUCUUAAAAUGUGUAAAACUAUACCUGAAUUUAAAAGCAACAAAACUCAUAUUGCAAGUCUUGGCAAACUGAGAGAUAGGAGCAGAAAACAAUGGUGGAUGCCUAUAAACGGAUCAAGAAAAGGGAGUGAGAAUUUACUGGAAAGAAGGACAAAUGAGCAUCGAAUUCAGCAGGUUUGGGUUUUUCCAGAGAUCAGUGCCUGAUACUGGUUCCCAGAUGAUAUCUCCCAAGAGCCCGGUUCCCAGGGUGUGUUCCAGCCUCUGUCCGCCAGGCUUCCCACCAAGUCUUGUGCCAAUAGUAGUUGCCAGCACAUUCUGCCUCACAAGUUGCUGGCUCCACCACUACUACCCUAUCCCACCUACGUCCAAGAUACGCAUCUGGCUUUUCUGCUUUGAAUUCAGCAAGUCAUCUCCUUUCCUGUCAUGUAACUCCCUCUGUGACUCGGCCUACCCAGCCACACUCCUCAGUGCUUUGUGGCAAAACUCAACCUGACCCCCCUUCAGAGAAAGAGAAAUAAGUGUCGGGGUUGAAGGUUCAGCUGUAAAGUGAUGUUUCCCAUACUCAUAAACUUACAUAGCAAUGAGGAACUGGAGUCUAUUUUUGACUGUUGUAGUGACCUUUGUGCAUACCCUAAAAGACAGAGGAACAUUGAGCUAAUGUAGCCAUCCCAUGAAGCCUCAGUAGCUCUAAUAGGUCCUUUUAGUUGUUGCUAGGGUGCCAGUUCUUGCACUUUAAUACAAUUCUUGGCUGGGCACCAUGGCUCACGACUGUAAUCCCAGCACUUUGGGAGGCCAAGGCAGGAGGAUCACUGGAGGCCAGGAGUUCAAGACCACCCUGGGCAACAUAGCAAGACCUCAUCUCUGCAAGGUAAAAAAAUUAACUGAGUGUGGUGGUUCAUGCCUAUAAUCCCAGCUACUCAGGCGAUGGGAGGAUCCCUUAAGCCCAGGAGUUGGAGACUGCAGUUAGCCAAGAUUGCGCCACUACCCUCCAGCCUGGGUGACAGAGCAAGACUCUGCCUCAAAAACCGACCAGCCAAACAAACAAACAAAAAAUGCAAUUUCUCCCAUCCUAACUCUUCAUAUUAGUAAAUCUUCAAUAAAAUGUAUAUGGGAAAUCAAUAUGGCACCCUCAAACCUAGUUGUAAUAGUCAGGAGAAGACCAUUCUAGCCUUUAAAAUCAGUCCUGUUAAAAAAAAAAUCAGUCCUAUUGACAUCAACGUUUUUACCUCCAGUUCCUCUCCACCCUUCUCUACCUCCUGAUUUCAUGUAGGCGAGCAAUUUAGGACAAUGAGAGUCACAGGAUUUUAAAUAACUUAAUUCCUAGGUGUGUUUGGUACGGAAACAAAGAUAACCCUGUUCAACAGUGAAUUUGUGCCCCUGGGUGAACGGCCAGGUGUUCUUUCAACUGAACUGUGAGACUAAUUUCUUCCUGGCCUCUGGAAACCAGCUGAAGCAGUGGGCCAGCUGGUCUAUCUUCAAUCUUGCAUACCAACAUCUUUCUCUGAUUCACAGAUUUCCUUUAUCCCCAGCACUUCCUCUGGUAUGUGCAUCCCCGAAAGUAAGUGAUAUCUAUUAUUGGAUUUGGGCGUUUUAAAAUCAUUAGCCUUCUGGAGGGGAGGGGAGAGGAAGGAGGCUGGAUGGUUACAUUAGAAUAUUUCCAGAGGGAACCUCACUUUAAUCUCAUCCACCUCUGACUUCUGCACCCCAGAUAACCCCCAUAUUUGGGAGGGAUGACAUCACAGUAACUGACAAUGGAAUUAUCACCAUUGCUCUUUUUAAUAUUUAAAUGAUACACAGACUCAGAGAAAACAAAAUGAGUUUACAUAUAGUCAUAAUAUCCAUAACUAGAGAUAUAAAACAAAAAGCUAUGGAGAUUCUUAUCUAGUGAAGAAAUCUCUUUUAGAAAGUUUCUGAUGACUUUCAGUUGCAAAGCAUAGCUCUUUCACAAUAUAUCAACCCACUUUCAAUGAUUUGAGAUUUGGAGAGGGCCCAGCCAUAGAUUUACCUGGUGAGUCACAGAGUAGAACUUGAUAUGAGAAAGCAGGACCCUAUAUCUAUCAGCCUAAUGGUUCUCAGAAUACCAGGUCAUAUCCAUCAUUUCUUUUCCCAAAUAGCUGUAACAGGCAUACCUCGUUUUACUGGGCUUCACUUUCUUGUGUUUUGGAGAUGGUAUGUCUUUACAAACUGAAAGUUUGUAGAAACCUGCAUUGAGUAAGUCUACCAGUGCCAUUUUUUCAACAACAUGUGCUCACUUCGUGUCUCUGUCACAUUUUAGUAAUUCUUGCAAUCUUUCAAAAGUAUUUAUUAAGAUAAAAAACAAAAGAAACGAUAUAAAAAUAAAGAGAAAAAGGAAGAAAAUUUGUUAUUAUUAUACCUGUCAUAGUGACCUGUGAUCCGUGAUCUUUCAUAUUACUAUUGUAAUUGUUUUGGGGCACAAUGACCCUCAUCCAUAUAAGAUGGUGAACAUAAUAAAUGUUGUGUGUGUUCUGAGUGAUCCACCAACCUGCCAUUCCUUCAUCUCUCUCCCUCUCCUCAGGCUUCCCUAUUCCUUGAGACACAACAGUAUUGAAAUUAAUUAAUAAAGUUAUAGCGUCCUCCAAGUGUUCAAGUGAAAGGAAGAGUUGCACAUCUCUCACUGUAAUUCAAAAGCUAGAAAUGAUUAAGCUUAGUGAGGAAGGCAUAUCAAAAGCAAAGACAGUCUGAAAACCAAGACUUUUGUGCCAAAUAGCCAAGUUGUGAAUGCAGAGAGAAAGAUCCUGCACCAAAUUAAAAUGUGACUCCAGUGAACACAUGAAUGAUAAGAAAGGGAAAAACAGCCUUGCUGAUACGGAGAGAGUUUGAGUGGUCUGGAUAGAAGAUCAAACCAGCCACAACAUUCCCUAAUGUUUGUAAGCCAAAGCCUAAUCCAGAGCAAAGCCCUAAAUCUUCAAUUCUAUGAAGGCUGAGAGAAGUGAGAAACUGCAGAAGAAAAGUUGAAAGGUAGCAGAGGAUGGUUCAUGAGAUUUAAGAAAAGAAACUGUCUCCAUAACAUAAGUGCAAGAUGAAGCAGCAAGUGCUGAUACAGAGGCUGCAGCAAGCUAUCCAGAAGAUCUAGCUAAGGUCAUUGAUGAAAUGGUUGCACCAAACAGCAGAUUUUCAAUGUAGACAACCUUCUAUUGGAAGAAGAUGCCAUGUAGCAUUUUUAUAGCUAGAGGAGAAGUCAAUGCCUGACCUCAAAGCUUCACAGGACAGGCUUACUCUCUUUUUAGGGGCUAAUAUAGCUGGUAACUUUAAGUCGAAGCUAUUGCUCAUUUACCGUUCUGAAAAUCCUAGGGCACUUAAGAAUUAUGCUAAAUCUAUUCUGCCUGUGCUCUAUAAAUGGAACAACAAAGCCUGAAUGAUAGCACAUCUGUUUAUAGUAUGGUUUACUGAAUAUUUUAAGCCCAUUGUUGAGACCUCCUUCUCAGAAAAAAAAAAAAAGAUUCCUUUCAAAAUAUCAGUGCUCAUUGACAAUGCAUGUGGUCACCCAAGAGCUCUGAUGGAGAUAAAUGAGAUUAAUGUUGUUUUCAUGCCUGCUAACACAACACCCAUUCUACAGCCCAUGGGUCAAGGAGUAAUUUCUGCUGUUAAGCCCUAUUAUUUAAGAAACACAUUUUGUAAAGCUAUAGCUGGCAUUCCUCUGAUAAAUCUGGGAAGGAUAAUUGAAAACCUUCUGGGAAGGAUUCACCAUUCUAGACACUGUUAAGAAAAUUCAUGAUUCAUGGGAGGAAGUCAAAAUAUCAGCAUUAACAGGAGUUUGGGAGAAGUUGAUUCCAACCCUCACGGAUGACUUUGAGGGGCUUAAGACUUCAGUGGAGGAAGUUACUGCAGAUGCGGUGGAAAUAGCAAAAGAACUAGACUCGUAAAUGGAGCCUGAAGAUGUGAUUGAAUUGCAUAAUCUCAUGAUCAAACUUAACAGAUAAGUAGUUGCUUCUUAUGGAUCAGCAAAGUGUUUUUUUUUUUUUUUGAGAUAGAAUCUACUCUUGGUGAAGAUACUGUGAACAAUGUUGGAAUAAUAACAAAGGAUGUUGAAUCUUACAUAAACCGAGUUGAUGAAGCAGUAGCAAGGUUUGAGAGGAUUGACUCCAAUUUUGCAAGAAGUAAAAUUGUGAGUAAAAUGCUAUCAAACAGCAUUGCAUGCUACAGAGAAAUCUGUCAUGAAAGGAAGAGUCAACUGUUGCAGCCACCUUCAUUGUCUUAUUUUAAGAAAUUGCCACAACCAGCCCAGCCUUCAACAACCACCACCCCAAUCCAUCAGCAGCCAUCACUGUUAAGGCAAAACAAUUGUGACUUGCUAAAGGCUCAGAUAAUUGUUAGCAUUUUUUAGCAAUCGAGUAUUUUUAAGUAUGUACAUCGUUUUUUACACUAUAUUGUAGUCUGCUAUGCAUGCAAUAGCAUUAUGUCUAAAAAACAUAAUUUUUAUAUGCACUGGGAAGCCAAAAAAUUCACGUGAGCUACUUUAUUGCUAUAUUUAUUGUGGUGGUCUGGAACUGAACCUGCAAUAUUGUCAAUGUGUGCCUGUAUAAGAUUCUCCAUGCACUAAAAAGGACAUUUGAAAGUCAUGAGUAAGUUGUAGAGGAACUCUGGUGACUUGAAGCUUGUUUACUUUUAGCAGUGUGUACCUGUUGACACUUCUAGUAUAAUUUAUAUUCUUUCUCUCAUGAGUAUUUUACAGGAAAUGCGUUUUCCUUUGCUAGUGAUAUAUGCACUUUGGUUUUCAGGAAGCUGUGGUGCUUUGGUUGAAGCUCUCUGUCUGUUUUAGAGAAAAGACUUACAAUGACCUCCUGAUAUAGUUUGGAUAUUUGUCUGCUCCAAAUCUCAUAUUGAAAUUUGAUCCCCAAUUUUAGAGGUAGGAUAUAGUGAGAGGUGUGUGGGUUAUGGAGGCAGAUCCCUCAUGGACAACUUGGUUCUGUCCUCUGGGUAAU
rnacentral:lncRNA from 1 species